rnacentral:tRNA from 10 species
AGGCGCGUAGCUCAGUUGGUUAGAGCACCACCUUGACAUGGUGGGGGUCGGUGAUUCGAAUUCACUCGUGCCUACCA